rnacentral:rRNA from 1 species
GAUGAACGCUGACAGAAUGCUUAACACAUGCAAGUCGAUUCGAUUUACCUUCGGGUAUUGAGGAUGGCGGACGGGUGAGUAACGCGUAAGGAACUUGCCUCUUGGUCUGGGACAACUGUUGGAAACGACAGCUAAUACCGGAUAUUAUGAGAUUCUCGCAUGGGAAACUUAUGAAAGCUAUAUGCGCCAAGAGAGAGCCUUGCGUUCCAUUAGCUAGUUGGUGGGGUAACGGCCCACCAAGGCGACGAUGGAUAGCCGGCCUGAGAGGGUGAACGGCCACAAGGGGACUGAGACACGGCCCUUACUCCUACGGGAGGCAGCAGUGGGGAAUAUUGGACAAUGGGCCACAAGCCUGAUCCAGCAAUUCUGUGUGCACGAUGAAGGUCUUCGGAUUGUAAAGUGCUUUCAGUUGGGAAGAAGAAAGUGACGGUACCAACAGAAGAAGCGACGGCUAAAUACGUGCCAGCAGCCGCGGUAAUACGUAUGUCGCAAGCGUUAUCCGGAUUUAUUGNGCGUAAAGCGCGUCUAGGCGGAAAAAUAAGUCUGAUGUUAAAAUGCGGGGCUUAACUCCGUAUUGCGUUGGAAACUGUUUUUCUAGAGUACUGGAGAGGUGGGCGGAACUACAAGUGUAGAGGUGAAAUUCGUAGAUAUUUGUAGGAAUGNNGAUGGAGAAGUCAGCUCACUGGNCAGAUACUGACGCUAAAGCGCGAAAGCGUGGGGAGCAAACAGGAUUAGAUACCCUGGUAGUCCACGCCNU